rnacentral:rRNA from 1 species
GGACGCAAGUCUGAGGCAGCAACGCCGCGUGGAGGAUGAAGGUUUUCGGACUGUAAACUCCUUUUGUCGGGAGGGACGAAGCUCUGACGGUACCUCCAAAGGAAGCACCGGCUAACUCUGUGCCAGCAGCCGCGGUAAUACAGAGGGUGCGAGCGUUGUCCGGAAUCACUGGGCGUAAAGGGCGCGUAGGCGGCCUAUUA